AUUGAACGCUGGCGGCAGGCCUAACACAUGCAAGUCGAGCGGUAGCACAGAGAGCUUGCUCUCGGGUGACGAGCGGCGGACGGGUGAGUAAUGUCUGGGAAACUGCCUGAUGGAGGGGGAUAACUACUGGAAACGGUAGCUAAUACCGCAUAACGUCGCAAGACCAAAGAGGGGGACCUUCGGGCCUCUUGCCAUCAGAUGUGCCCAGAUGGGAUUAGCUAGUAGGUGGGGUAACGGCUCACCUAGGCGACGAUCCCUAGCUGGUCUGAGAGGGUGACCAGCCACACUGGAACUGAGACACGGUCCAGACUCCUACGGGAGGCAGCAGUGGGGAAUAUUGCACAAUGGGCGCAAGCCUGAUGCAGCCAUGCCGCGUGUAUGAAGAAGGCCUUCGGGUUGUAAAGUACUUUCAGCGGGGAGGAAGGUGUUGAGGUUAAUAACCUCAGCAAUUGACGUUACCCGCAGAAGAAGCACCGGCUAACUCCGUGCCAGCAGCCGCAGUAAUAC
rnacentral:rRNA from 1 species